CAGUCGCCGCGGUAAUACGUAGGGUGCGAGCGCUAAUCGGAAUUACUGGGCGUAAAGCGUGCGCAGGCGGUUGUGUAAGACAGGUGUGAAAUCCCCGGGCUUAACCUGGGAACUGCGCUUGUGACUGCACAGCUAGAGUAUGGCAGAGGGGGGUGGAAUUCCACGUGUAGCAGUGAAAUGCGUAGAGAUGUGGAGGAACACCGAUGGCGAAGGCAGCCCCCUGGGCCAAUACUGACGCUCAUGCACGAAAGCGUGGGGAGCAAACAGGAUUAGAUACCCCUGUAGUCCCUGUCUCUUAUAC
rnacentral:rRNA from 1 species